GUGGGGAAUAUUGCACAAUGGGGGAAACCCUGAUGCAGCAACGCCGCGUGAAGGAUGAAGGCCUUUGGGUCGUAAACUUCUGUUCUAAGGGAAGAUAGUGACGGUACCUUAGGAGCAAGUCCCGGCUAACUACGUGCCAGCAGCCGCGGUAAUACGUAGGGGGCAAGCGUUAUCCGGAAUUAUUGGGCGUAAAGAGUACGUAGGUGGUUUUCUAAGCACGGGGUUUAAGGCAAUGGCUUAACCAUUGUUCGCCUUGUGAACUGGAAGACUUGAGUGCAGGAGAGGAAAGCGGAAUUCCUAGUGUAGCGGUGAAAUGCGUAGAUAUUAGGAGGAACACCAGUGGCGAAGGCGGCUUUCUGGACUGUAACUGACACUGAGGUACGAAAGCGUGGGGAGCAAACAGGA
rnacentral:rRNA from 1 species